ACAACAAACCACAGCAGAGCACGAGUGGAGGGGGGAGGGGCGACAAGAGGAUGGCGACGGUUGGCCGGUUAGUCUGUGAAUGGACAGCAGGCGGCAGAGCGAAGUGACGGAAGUGAAAUGAGAACAGGAGUAGAUGGCGGGAAAGAUGAUGUAGAGGUGAAAUAAGAUAAAAACAAAGCGGAAAAGGAGAACAACAAGCAGAGUGAAAGUAAACCUGUAAUGUGGAGGAAACGGACAGUGAGCGCAGUGUAACCGUGACAAGGAGACACGAGGACGGAUUUAAAGUGAUCAUAAAAUCGUCUCCAGACGGUCGUCGUUCGGUGAGUGGAACCAGAUUCAGCUACAACAGCGAUAAAUACGCCUGUAGGGAGAUUAAGAGUGCUAAUAUCUGGGCCCGUUGUAGACAUGCAUAUAUGAGGGGGCAGACAGAAAAGUAAAGGGGACAACAUGGUGGAUACGGAGGCGGCAAAGAGAUGGGAUGGUGGGGUGCUCUAGAAAACAGUUUUUGUCUUGUAAUUGGAUUGCACUUUGUCAGGCCUCUACCCUAAGAUCUGACCACCUUGGGUGUCCCACCUGAAGGCUAAGCUUCUGCUGGUCCAGCUCUUAGUGUCACUGAGGCACGCAAACCCUGAGUCCAGUAGGCGGGAUUAAUGCACCUGUAAGCUGAUUUGUCAAAUGCCAUCAAGGCCUGAAGAAGAACGGAGGAGGACAGCACUACUGUGGUAGAGGAGCGGUGUGUGUGCAGACAUGGCUGCUGUUGAUGAAGCGGACUGAACUUAGAGGAGAGACACAAACUAAAGUAUCCAUCCCCUCACGUCAGUGUGGAUCUGACACCAACGUCUGUAUCACUUCAUCGAUGCUUGUAUCGAUCCGCUCAGCCUGAGUUGAAGCAGCAAUGAGUUCAGUUCAGUAUCUGAGAGAGUUCAUCAAGGAGAGACUAACUGCUGUUUGUGAAGAAAUCUUCUCAGAGGUUCAAAAAACCAUCGUCCAGUAUGAGGAGGAGAUCAACCGUCUGCACAGACUGCUGGAUAUCAGCCGGAAACCCAACAUAAACUUACACAUCACAGAUCUACCACAACAUCAUGACUGUAAGGAAGAGGAGGGUCUGGAUGAGCAGCAGGUCUGUAACCAGGAGAGGAACUCCAGUGUGGACCAGGAGGACCCAGAGCCUCCACAGAUUAAAGAGGAACAGGAGGAACCCUGCAGCAGUCAGGAGGAGAACAGCUUGGACUGAAGCAGGAGACUGAAGGCAUUAUUGUCUGGACUGAUGAAGAGCAGCUCAGAGUGAUGGAGACCAUCUGAAAACCUGUGAUAAAGUUACACAGAAUAGGUAUGUAAAACUGUGAUGUCUUAAUAACACUGAAUAUGACUCACGGGUCUUAAGCAGGUGAUUAAGCUGCUUCCACAUCCUGCAAGAAGCAACCGGGACAGGUGACUACUUUUACAAAUUCUCUUUUUACAUAUCUUUAGGUUACCGACAAAUGAUUGAAUGUAAGCUGCUCUAACUUUGACUCUUUUCUGACACAG
ensembl:lncRNA